UCGAGAAUCUUCGGCAAUGGGCGAAAGCCUGACCGAGCGACGCCGCGUGCGGGAUGAAGGCCCUCGGGUUGUAAACCGCUGUCAGUGGGGAGGAAGGCUCUGUGAAGAGCAGGGUUUGACCUAUCCGCAGAGGAAGUCCGGGCUAAGUUCGUGCCAGCAGCCGCGGUAACACGAACCGGACAAACGUUAUUCGGAAUCACUGGGCUUAAAGGGUGCGUAGGCGGCCUGACAAGUUGGGUGUGAAAUCCCUCGGCUCAACCGAGGAAUUGCGCUCAAAACUGUUGGGCUCGAGGGAGUUAGAUGUAAGCGGAACUUAGGGUGGAGCGGUGAAAUGCGUUGCUCUCCUAAGGAACACCAGUGGCGAAAGCGGCUUACUGGAGCUCUUCUGACGCUGAGGCACGAAAGCUAGGG
rnacentral:rRNA from 1 species